AUUGAUUGCUGAAAGAGCAACAGUUGAACAGCUUCCUUCUUAACACCAAGUUGAACACUGAGGUUAUGGAUCACAUUUGUCUGCUUUGGCAUGGACCAACACUGAGGGCUCAACCUCAUCUCCAGUCAACACAAGCUUCUCUCUUCAUCCAAACACAAGCCCAAAAAAGUGAUGUGGUGCAGCAUCCUGUGGCUUUGCUAAUCAGGAGACACACACACAAAAAAAGGUUCUUCAACAAAGCAGCAUCUUUUGACACCUUGCUAGUUUAUCAUCUUCAUCCUCGUAAGUGUUGGCUCCCUGGCCGUUCCCAUGGUGACAUGCCUAUCAACGACAGGCAUGUGCAAACAGAGCGGCCUGAGCUAACAGUUUAGACUGUGCCUGCCUGCCGGUAUGCAAGCUUCCCUGAGCCCAUAUGCUGGCCGUCGGUUUAAAAAAAAAAGGAAAAGCAACUCAAGCCAGUGUCAGCUCAGACAAAGGGAACACCGGCAAGUCUCUAUUUGAGUUGGCACUUUUUCAUGCACUAGUCUUGAGGAAUAUCUCUAAAGCAUAGGAGGGGGAGGGAGGGGGAGCUGGCAGGGAUGUGGGACGGGUAACAGCCCAGACAAAACGCGUGGGUUCAACUCUGCUCGUCCCCAGGAGACACAGCAAAACAUCAAGGCAAGCCAUGAAAUCUUCCAAACAACAGCAGCAGCAAAGGCCCAGGCUUCCCACGGUGAUUUACUGUAAAACACCGAGAAGAGACACCGGCCAGCAGAGGGGCAACAAUGAAUGACAAAGCCACAGAAUCUGUUUGCUGCUAGAGCCCGGCCGUAGAUCUGAGGAGAGGCCUCCACGUCAAGAGAGUAAACCCGGAAUGCCACUGGUGUGGAAUAUAUAUAUGCAGCUGAAAGAGAGAGCCAAAUAAAAACAAGCCCACAGCUGGUGCUUAUAUCA